AUAUAAACAUAAUAUUUUAUUUUAAUGCCCAACCUUAUCUAUUAUCCGACCCGAAAUAAAAUAACCCUUCUCUUAAUACCCUCCCGAAUUUGACUUCACUUGAGAAUUAAGGAUAGCUAUUCUUCUCAAUCAGCUUUUCUUCUCAAUCUCAACAAGGAACUCACAGAGUUGCUGCUAUUUCCGGCGCAAAUCUGGACGACCAAGUUAUGGUUAGUGUUCCCACCAUCUUUCACCAUUCAAUUUCCAAAAUAUGAGCCAGGGAUCUUCGAGCUCAUCAAUGGUUCGAGGAGGAAAUGUUGUUGUGGAGUUGCUGCUAGCCAAUUUACUGCUUAGACUCCAAAUAAUGCCGGUAGACGAUUUAACAAGUGUUCAAUACCUAAGGGACAGAAAUGUAAGUUCUGGGAAUGGGUAGAUGAUGAACUUCAUCUUAGUGUUAUAGCACUGAUCAGUAACUUAAAGAAUGAAAAUGGAGCUCUUAGACGUGAAUGGAAUCUCCUGCUGAUGAUGGUUGUCGAGAUUGAAAGCGUCUUAGUAGGGGAUGUUGCAAAAAUUAAAGAUUUCAAGGAAUUAGUUGAUGUUAAAGGAGACAAAGUUGUUUCUAAGGAAAAAAUGGAUGGAGGUUUAGUGUUUGCGAAGGAAAGUAGUCCGAAAAAAUGAAAUAUCAUUAGUAUGGUAUGGUGUUGCUUCAUUGGGUUCAUGUGUGCUUGGAUGAUGAAAUAUCUACCUUAAGAUCAACCAAAGUUUAGGUGUAUAUGAUAUAUUUAAGUGAUUAUGUAACAUAUGUUCAAACAAGGUUUAUGUAUAAUUGACAUGGUUAAGAUUUAAUUUAUAUUUUUAGUGUUUGUGCUUUUGGA